rnacentral:tRNA from 1 species
GGGGGAGUAGCUCAACGGUCAGAGCAGGGCUCUUAUACAGCCCCGGUUGGUGGUUCGAAUCCACCCUCCCCUACCA